rnacentral:lncRNA from 1 species
UUUUGCUUGUGGACAAAGAAUGCCACCUACCAUUAUGUUUCAGCCAGAGAGUUUUCAGCCACUGCAGCUCCUCCAACAGAGCACCCUGAGGGGAAUUCAGGAUGGAAAAACAGGAUACUGGCCCUAGAUAGUUAAGAUGUGUAUCAAAGGAAUGGCUUCAAUAAGCCCAGACUGUUAUACCUUUCCAUACAUAGAAAAGUGUCAUAAUCACUAAUUUGAGAUAUCUGGGUUUUGAGAUUAGCAAUAAAUUUUUGAUGUUUGACUUUUUUUUUUUUUUCAUCAAGGUCUCCUGUAUACCCUGACUCCUCCCUUACCUCUUUGAAACAGUUCCUCAGAACUAUUUGAGAAGAUUUCUCCCUGGACUGUAGCUCUCAGUAAGGCCACUAUAUAAAACAUAAUUCGCAACUUUCAGGCUGUGUACAUUUUUUCAGGAAACAGUUUUGGUGACCACGAAAGGAGCCAGAGCUGACUUCUCUCCUUCACCUGAACUCUACAAAGAAGCAGGGCCUUGGUACCAACAGAGUCCCCCUUUACCAGGUACCUGCUGGGAGACUUCAGACUAUGUUGGGUUAGUCUCCCGUGAUUCUCAGAUCCUCAAUUAUAGAUUCAUGAUCCUGACUUUCCUAUGAUGGUUAAUAGCAGGCACUUGGCCCACAGUUGAAAGAUUCUGAGGGAGUCCAGUUGGAAGAUGCUGGGACUUACUUAGUUGAAAGACACUGAGCAGUCUUGGCUGAGUGGUUAAGUAGGAGGCUGACCUGACCUCUUUCCUUAAUUUGGCUGUCUUAAUAUAGGUGGUUGGGAUAAAAGUGAAAACAACACAUGAGCAUUUUGCUCCAAUUAAGAGGAAGGAGAUUCUUCCCAGUUGGUUAGAGUGUUCUCAAGUGACUGAGAGACUGAGGGGCAUGGUGGAGGCAGAGUAUUCAUACCUUACUGUUGUCCCACAGGGAAACCACUUAGUAAUUAAAAGACUUGCUUGUCCCGGGAUGAGGUAGAAGAAUUGGACAUCAGUUAGCUGAGCACCCACAGCAUUUUUAAUUGGCUGGAGGGAGAAUCUGAGACAAUUCAGAGAGCUGCAACGUCUUCAGAGUGACACCUAGUGGAGUUAAGCUCGCAAGGAGCACACUGACCCACCACACAGUUUAAGUUUCAUCCCUAACAAAUACAAUAUGACAGUGGGUUUCUCUGGUGGUUCAAAUGGUAAAGACUCUGCCUGCAAUUUGGGAGACCCAGGUUUGAUCCCUGGGUCAGGGAAAUCACCUGGAGAAGGGAAUUGACUGCCCUCUCCAAUAUUCUUGCCUAGAGAAUCCCAGGGACUGUAGCUUCUCAGUCCAUGGGAUAGCAAAGAGCCAGACACAACUGAGUGACCAACACUUGCCAAAGUUCCACUUCAAUAGUAAACAGAGUCUCUCAAACAGAGGAAAGAGUGGUGUUGGAAAGCCAAACUGUAACGCUCCAGCUUAAUUUGUGUCCAAUAUGCAUGGAGCAUAUGC